AGUAAGGAAAAGAAAGUUCCUCCUUCUCCGCCUUCUUUGGUAUUUUCAGAACAGACGAAUGUGCUUCCUUCAAGAUCAUAUAAGAAUAGAUAUAUUGAACCGACGGUUCCCUGGAACAAGAAUUCAGGAUCCCCGCCAGUAGAAGAGGAAGAAGACGACUUUGCUGCUGUUUUAAGUAAGUUUCGAACCCUGGCUGAACUAAAGGAAAAACUAAGAGAGGAUCCAUCCUUCUUAAAAAGAAUUGAGGGAUUACAAAAUCUCAAG